rnacentral:rRNA from 1 species
UUGAAAGGGAAACGAUUGAAGUCAGUCGUACCGGUGGGUAAUCAGCCUUUCGGGAGAUUAUGUGAAGCGUGAGGAGUCAAACGCCCUCAUGCCUGCAUAUUCGUGUUCUUUGGGUGUACUUACCCGCAUGGUAGGUUAACAUCAAUUUCGAACGUCAUAAAAUGGUUGGAGGAAUGUAGCUUCGAUCUCGUAUUGAAGUGUUAUAGCCUUCGGCAGAUGUGAUGAUCGGGAUUGAGGAUUGCAACGGAUACCCCUCGGGCUACCCGUCUGAUCUCUGAAAGUUACUCUGGUGCCGAAAGCUCGCUUACGGUCAUCAAAGUUGACGUUCAGCAGGUUAGAACGGGAUAAAUUCGUUAAGGAUGUUGACGUA